ensembl:lncRNA
GUCUUAGCUCAGUAAUAUAUCGAUUUUGAACAGACAUUUCUGUGUUAACUUAACAUGAAAGUGUAUUCAGUUAAUACAACUUAAAAAUCUCGUAAGCGUCCUUUAAAAGCUGAGUACAAGGCUGACUUGCCCGGACAUGUUGUGCUCUCAGACCACUGAUCGAAAGAAACGGAGGCAAAGAGAGAAAGCAGAGAAGCGGCAUUUUGUACGGAACAUUAUCAAACGUUAAAGCUUUGUGGCAGGAAGUUGUCAAUCAAGCACCAAAAAUCAAUGACCUGAAAGAAAGAUGGCCUGCUCUUUUUGAUGCAGUUCAGAUAAACCAAGAAUUCAGAAGGAUCACCACUGUUAACCUGGAGACAACAUUCAUGGCAAAGCUGGACCAGUACUCUCAGAAAAUAAUGUCCUUGCUGUCCUCAAGAGGAGGGGCUGCAAAAAUGCGCAUUCGGCGCAUCCAGAACAUGCUGCUAGAGGACGAUUCUGUGGAGAGAAGGCGAGAGGUCGCUAUCUGUGGCUUAGUGGUGUAUCUCAGGGAAAAGGAGGAGGAUCUCUUCAAAGAGCAGGAUGGUGGCGGCGAUAUUACCAAUGAAGUGAUGAAGAUUGUAACCAGAGGUGCCACAACGUCUGAUCCAGCCAGCGCAAGGAUCAUACUUGAAGGAACAGAAGUCCUAGCAGACCUGGAUGUACCCAGAGCCUGUGCCUUGCUAAUGGGGCUGAUAUAUGCACUCAACCUCAGCUACCCAAAAGAACUGAAAAACACUUUUGAAAAACACUUUUGAAGUGUUUCAAAAGAUAUUCCUCGAGCUGGAUGAUCUGAAAGCCAGUCCUAAGGUAAUGUCACUAAAAAGUAAACUGUUGUACUAAAAAAUGUGAAGAGUGAGGCUAUCCUCAAAUUAAACGGGAAAUGUUCCACUGUUGUUUGCAAUGUGUUGUGUUACAUACUUUACAGUAGGCAGUAGGUGUAAAGUUGAGCGUUGAGCAUUAAGUACACCUAGUUAAAAAUAAUGCACUUUAAAAGGAUAGCUCGGGUCUUUUGAAGUGAGGCUGUAUAUGAGGUACAUAUGUAUUGUGAGUGUAUUACACACAGUAGAUGGCAGUCAGUAAGCUCCACCUACGGAGAAGCAGACGGGGCCACCGGCACGCAAGAUGAGCCUCCAUCAUAAUAAAACUAAUGUCAGUUUAAAUGUACAUUAUAUCAAGAAUAUGUUUACUGCUUUAUUUUGCUAUCAGACAGCCUUUUCUGUGAGGAAAGAGAAGUUCUACUGCUUGUUGUUUCAAUCGCUCUGGCCCACCAGCGUCCAUGGACAAAAACAGCAAUUUUACCUGACAGCACACAGGAGUUGCUGGUCUCCUGCUGCCUUGAUCAGUAAGUGUAAUUGUGUUAUUUGGUGACUUUGGUGUUAGUUCGGGUUAGUUCAGAUUUACCAAAGUCACACAAACAAACUGAGCCUAUCGUGCGUGUUGGUGGCAGGAAUGUGCUGACUGCUGUCUACUGUGUGUAAUACACUCACAAUGUACUUCAUACUUAAAAAAACC